GAUGAACGCUGGCGGCGUGCUUAACACAUGCAAGUCGAACGAUGAAGCCCAGCUUGCUGGGUGGAUUAGUGGCGAACGGGUGAGUAACACGUGAGUAACCUGCCCUUAACUCUGGGAUAAGCCUGGGAAACUGGGUCUAAUACCGGAUAGGAGCGUCCACCGCAUGGUGGGUGUUGGAAAGAUUUAUCGGUUUUGGAUGGACUCGCGGCCUAUCAGCUUGUUGGUGAGGUAAUGGCCCACCAAGGCGACGACGGGUAGCCGGCCUGAGAGGGUGACCGGCCACACUGGGACUGAGACACGGCCCAGACUCCUACGGGAGGCAGCAGUGGGGAAUAUUGCACAAUGGGCGCAAGCCUGAUGCAGCGACGCCGCGUGAGGGAUGACGGCCUUCGGGUUGUAAACCUCUUUCAGUAGGGAAGAAGCGAAAGUGACGGUACCUGCAGAAGAAGCACCGGCUAACUACGUG
rnacentral:rRNA from 1 species